CGACCGCUGGCGGCGUGCUUACCACAUGCACGUCGACCGACGAGCGAUGGAAGCUUGCUUCUAUCAAUCUUAGUGGCGAACGGGUGAGUAACGCGUAAUCAACCUGCCCUUCAGAGGGGGACAACAGUUGGAAACGACUGCUAAUACCGCAUACGAUCUAAUCUCGGCAUCGAGGAUAGAUGAAAGGUGGCCUCUACAUGUAAGCUAUCACUGAAGGAGGGGAUUGCGUCUGAUUAGCUAGUUGGAGGGGUAACGGCCCACCAAGGCGAUGAUCAGUAGCCGGUCUGAGAGGAUGAACGGCCACAUUGGGACUGAGACACGGCCCAGACUCCUACGGGAGGCAGCAGUGGGGAAUCUUCCGCAAUGGACGAAAGUCUGACGGAGCAACGCCGCGUGAGUGAUGACGGCCUUCGGGUUGUAAAGCUCGGUUAAUCGGGACGAAAGGCCUUCUUGCGAAUAGUGAGAAGGAUUGACGGUACCGGAAUAGAAAGCCACGGCUAACUACGUG
rnacentral:rRNA from 1 species